UCUAAAAUAGCUUAAGAGAAAGCACUAACUUUGUAACUUAGAGAUGGGACUACCCCUUUUAGAU
rnacentral:tRNA from 1 species